GAUGGAAGAGACCGGAGAAGGGUUGGUGAUCAAGGAAUACAGGGAAGCAAGGAGAAACGCAGAAGCCUAGUCAAAGGGUCGUCGAGCAGAACAACAGGAAAGAGGAUAAAACCCAGGAGCAAUGUUAGAAUAUUACCAAAAUGUUAUUUGUGAAAACAAGAAGUUUAAAACCACGAGGGAAAAGGAUGAGAGUUCGCUGUUUGCCUUGGAAAUUUGUGUACACACGAGCGUAUUUUUCUAUUCUAAAAUUCAUCCUUGGUUCGUCGCCGUCGAAGAACUCGCUCUGGCACUUAUCGUAACUCCAAGUCGCGAAACAAAGGUAGAAGAAGGGUUCGGAGGUAAAGACAGGUUCGUAAAGAGCAAGGGAUGGCGUGCAAGACACGGAGAGUAACGGAUGGGCAGAACAAGGGAAUACACAGGAGAGAAACCAGGGUGGACACGGAGGACGCAGCAGAUAGAGAUGCAAAGGGUAGAAGGGUACGCGGCGAGAAAGGUAGGAGUAGAGUGAGCAGACGUGGA